ACCAUCUAAUGACACACAGACAGACAGACAGACAGACAGAUUUAUUUUCAGUAUACAAGGCCAUGACCCACAUUACAGAAUGUUUUUACAUUUGGU